ensembl:lncRNA
CCCCUCUCCCUCCAGUUUUAGAUUACCAGGCGUAAAGAGAAAGAGACCCAACACCAACCCAACCCCACUGAAUGAACACAUAAUGAAAGGUUCCUUCAAGGGGCGCAGGCUUAAACCAGUAGGAACAGAGUGAAGCGUUUGAGUCUGCAGCCGUCAGAGCGGCCAUGUUGAGUCAAACAGCGCUAUGUUAGACGCUGGGGGGGCCAUGACGGUGGUACUGGUUACAUCUUGACACUUGACACAGUGUGUGUCUAUGUGGUGAUAGUCCGGGGGCCCUUAUCCUGAGGCCUACUGGGGCUCAGUGGGGGCCCGUGAUUGGCUUCUCCAACCAACAGGGAAGAGUUCUUCUGUGGUUCUGCUGUGUUCUGGAGGUCUCCUGGGAGCUGGUUCACAUGCCCUACUUAAAACACCCCAGCCACCGGCCCUCAAGCUCAGAUCCACCAAUAGUGCAAGAAUACGAUGUUCCAGUGUUUGCUAAAGGCAAGGAGGAGGAGGAGGAGGAGACACCAGGGAUGUGGUGUUGUCGUCCCUCCUCCAAGCUUGGGGGGAGAUGGGCCUCCCCGGGUCCCCAAGCUUGACGGACAUCCGUUCAGCCGUGGCCACAUACAACUUCGACUCAGAGAUUGGCAGGUGGGACCAUCGCAAUACGACCGCGGCAGCGACUACCAGUGCAUCGCCGAGAACAGCGCCGGCUCCGCGCAGGCCAGCGCCCGCCUCACCGUGCUGUGGGCCGACGGGCUCCCCGGGGCCCCCACAAUGGUGCGGGCCUAGGCGUUGUCGCCCGGCGCCAUCCAGGUGUCCUGGAAGGAACCGGAGC